AGAGUUUGAUCAUGGCUCAGAAUCAACGCUGGCGGCGUGCCUAACACAUGCAAGUCGAACGAGAAAGUGGAGCAAUCCAUGAGUAAAGUGGCGCACGGGUGAGUAACACGUGACUAACCUACCCUUGAGUGGGGGAUAACCUCGGGAAACCUUGGCUAAUACCGCAUAACACCUACGGGUCAAAGGAGCAAUUCGCUUAAGGAGGGGGUCGCGGCAGAUUAGUUAGUUGGCGGGGUAAUGGCCCACCAAGACAGUGAUCUGUAUCCGGCCUGAGAGGGCGCACGGACACACUGGAACUGAAACACGGUCCAGACUCCUACGGGAGGCAGCAGUGGGGAAUUUUGCGCAAUGGGGGAAACCCUGACGCAGCAACGCCGCGUGGAGGAUGAAGUCCCUUGGGACGUAAACUCCUUUCGACCGGGACGAUUAUGACGGUACCGGAAGAAGAAGCCCCGGCUAACUUCGUGCCAGCAGCCGCGGUAAUACGAGGGGGGCGAGCGUUGUUCGGAAUUAUUGGGCGUAAAGGGUGCGUAGGCGGUUCGGUAAGUUUCGUGUGAAAUCUUCGGGCUCAACUCGAAGCCUGCACGAAAUACUGCCGGGCUUGAGUGUGGGAGAGGUGAGUGGAAUUUCCGGUGUAGCGGUGAAAUGCGUAGAUAUCGGAAGGAACACCUGUGGCGAAAGCGGCUCACUGGACCACAACUGACGCUGAUGCACGAAAGCUAGGGGAGCAAACAGGAUUAGAUACCCCCGUAGUCC
rnacentral:rRNA from 1 species